rnacentral:miRNA from 1 species
CCUGGAAUAAAGUUGACUGUGUCGC